rnacentral:misc_RNA from 1 species
GAAAUGCGAUAAGUAAUGUGAAUUGCAGAAUUCAGUGAAUCAUCGAAUCUUUGAACGCACAUUGCGCCCCUUGGUAUUCCGAGGGGCAUGCCUAUUCGAGCGUCAUUAUCACCCCUCAAGCUCCGGCUUGGUGUUGAGGCCUGCUGUCAAGGCACCCUCUAAAAUCAGUGGCAGUGCCGUCAGGCUCUAAGCGUAGUAAACACCUCGCUAUAGACUCUUGCGGUCCCUCGCCAGAACCCCCCAUUUUUUAAUGAUUGACCUCGGAUUAGGUAGGGAUACCCGCUGAACUUAA